rnacentral:rRNA from 1 species
AGCGAACGCUGGCGGCAGGCUUAACACAUGCAAGUCGAGCGGGCAUCCUUGUGGUGUCAGCGGCAGACGGGUGAGUAACGCGUGGGAACGUGCCCUUCGGUUCGGAAUAACUCAGGGAAACUUGAGCUAAUACCGGAUACGUGCGAGAGCAGAAAGGUUUAUCUGCCGAAGGAUCGGCCCGCGUCUGAUUAGCUAGUUGGUGAGGUUAUGGCUCACCAAGGCGACGAUCAGUAGCUGGUCUGAGAGGAUGAUCAGCCACACUGGGACUGAGACACGGCCCAGACUCCUACGGGAGGCAGCAGUGGGGAAUAUUGGACAUUGGGGGCAACCCUGAUCCAGCCAUGCCGCGUGAGUGAUGACGGCCUUAGGGUUGUAAAGCUCUUUUCUUCGGGACGAUAAUGACGGUACCGGAGGAAUAAGCCCCGGCUAACUUCGUG